GGUAGGAUGGCUGAGGUUUAAGCGGUGGAUUGUAAUCCCACAAACAGAGGUUUAAGUCCUCUUCUUACCA
rnacentral:tRNA from 2 species